rnacentral:rRNA from 1 species
UCUGUAGGCGGUUAGGUAAGUCAGAUGUGAAAUCCCGGGGCUCAACCCCGGAACUGCAUCCGAUACUGCCUGACUAGAGCGUUGGAGGGGAAACUGGAAUUCUCGGUGUAGCAGUGAAAUGCGUAGAUAUCGAGAGGAACACUAGUGGCGAAGGCGAGUUUCUGGACAACCACUGACGCUGAGAGACGAAGGCCAGGGUAGCGAAAA